CCUACGGGAGGCAGCAGUGAGGAAUAUUGGUCAAUGGGGGGAACCCUGAUGCAGCGACGCCGCGUGGGUGAAGGAGUGCUUCGGCAUGUAAAGCCCUAUCGGCAGGGAAGAAGCAAGACGGUACCUGACUAAGAAGCCCCGGCUAACUACGUGCCAGCAGCCGCGGUAAUACGUAGGGGGCGAGCGUUAUCCGGAUUCACUGGGUGGAAAGGGAGCGUAGACGGCCAUGGAAGCCAGGGGUGAAAGCCCGGGGCCCACCCCCGGGACUGCCCUUGGAACUGCAUGGCUGGAGUGCGGGAGGGGCAGGCGGAAUUCCUGGUGUAGCGGUGAAAUGCGUAGAUAUCAGGAGGAACACCGGCGGCGAAGGCGGCCUGCUGGACCGCGACUGACGUUGAGGCUCGAAAGCGUGGGGAGCGAACAGGAUUAGAUACCCGUGUAGUC
rnacentral:rRNA from 1 species